rnacentral:tRNA from 1 species
GCCGAAAUAGCUCAGUUGGGAGAGCGUCAGACUGAAGAUCUGAUGGUCCCUGGUUCAAUCCGGAGAGUUUGUA